AGCAGCCGCGGUAAUUCCAGCUCCAAUAGCGUAUAUUAAAGUUGCUGCAGUUAAAAAGCUCGUAGUUGAAUUUCGGGAUUAAUAUGUUGGUCGUGCCUCGGUACGUACUAGCUUAUUGGUUUCUUCCUUCUGACGAACCAUGAUGUCAUUUAUUUGGUGUUAUGAGGAAUCAGGACUAGGUUACUUUGAAAAAAUUAGAGUGUUUAAAGCAGGCUCACGCUUGAAUACAUUAGCAUGGAAUAAUGAAAUAGGACGUUUGAUUCUAUUUU
rnacentral:rRNA from 1 species